rnacentral:pre_miRNA from 1 species
CGCAGAUUUCUGAGUGAGUCCGGUAAUGGUAAGAGAUUGAAGUGACUGUUGCACAUUGAAGGCAGCCGCUCAAUCUCCUUGCCAUAGCCGGCAACUCAGAAAGACGA